rnacentral:rRNA from 1 species
CAUGGCUGUCGUCAGCUCGUGUUGUGAAAUGUUGGGUUAAGUCCCGCAACGAGCGCAACCCUUAUCCUUAGUUGCCAGCACGUAAUGGUGGGAACUCUAGGGAGACUGCCGGUGAUAAACCGGAGGAAGGUGGGGACGACGUCAAGUCAUCAUGGCCCUUACGAGUAGGGCUACACACGUGCUACAAUGGUAUGUACAGAGGGAGGCAAGCUGGCGACAGUGAGCGGAUCUCUUAAAGCAUAUCGUAGUCCGGAUCGCAGUCUGCAACUCGACUGCGUGAAGUCGGAAUCGCUAGUAAUCGCAAAUCA